UAAGGAAUAUUGGUCAAUGGAGGCAACUCUGAACCAGCCAUGCCGCGUGCAGGAUGACUGCCCUACGGGUUGUAAACUGCUUUUGUCCGGGAAUAACCCCCUCUACGGGUAGAGGGCUGAAUGUACCGGAAGAAUAAGGAUCGGCUAACUCCGUGCCAGCAGCCGCGGUAAUACGGAGGAUCCGAGCGUUAUCCGGAUUUAUUGGGUUUAAAGGGUGCGUAGGCGGCGCUUUAAGUCAGUGGUGAAAGACGGCAGCUCAACUGUCGCAGUGCCUUUGAUACUGAAGUGCUUGAAUGCUGAUGAAGAUGGCGGAAUGAGACAAGUAGCGGUGAAAUGCAUAGAUAUGUCUCAGAACACCGAUUGCGAAGGCAGCUAUCUAAGCAGUGAUUGACGCUGAUGCACGAAAGCGUGGGGAUCGAACAGG
rnacentral:rRNA from 1 species